GAGGUAGUAAGUGAUAUAUAAAAAUGGAGACUUGAAUCCAGGACUUCAAUCCCCAGAAGUCCUUGCUCCACUUCCCCAGAAUGCUUUGUAAUCUCACUGAAUUCUCACCUGGGACGAGAGCAGAUCAUUAUUUAAAGGGUCUCUGCCCACAGCGGGGUCUCUUCUCUUCCUGUCUCCUCUGGCAAGCAGAACCGUCUCAUGAUAUUUUCUAGAUAGAAUUCUAAAACACCGAUGGCAAGAGACUAGAGGAGACAGCAAGUGAGAUUGUAAAUAGGUA
rnacentral:lncRNA from 1 species